rnacentral:rRNA from 1 species
GCAUAUCAAUAAGCGGAGGAAAAGAAACUAACAAGGAUUCCCCUAGUAGCGGCGAGCGAAGCGGGAAGAGCUCAAAUUUAUAAUCUGGCACCUUCGGUGUCCGAGUUGUAAUCUCUAGAAGUGUUUUCCGCGUUGGACCGCACACAAGUCUGUUGGAAUACAGCGGCAUAGUGGUGAAACCCCCGUAUAUGGUGCGGACGCCCAGCGCUUUGUGAUACACUUUCAAUGAGUCGAGUUGUUUGGGAAU